AACAAAAGUUACAGCAUUUAAACAGAGACGUACUAUGUCAGUCAAUCUGACCCAUCAGGUGUUGAUUAAAAAAAAAGCGUCUGUGAGGCAGCUUUUGGUGAAUGUUGCCAUAUUUUGACAUCACAAUGGAGCUAAUUUACAACGCACAACAAGCUUCACCGAUGACAUGGUCGGAGGCGGGCCGGCCCGCUGGAGUCUGAAGGGCUCCUGCAGGCUCCAGCCGGAGCGCCACUCGGCAGCCACGGCGGCGUCAGGCUGGCUGGAACCGCAGCGCCGGCGCUCCAGAUCCCUCCGCCGCCUUCCCACCUGACAAACAUGUUUCAACUGCCGCGGAACAUCACCCCGCCGCCAGGAGGAGGGGAAAGCAUCGUGUCCCCUUUUUUUUGCACAGCGGUUCGUCUGGUGUGACAGCGGAGUGGCCGCCGUCCUCCACGCCGUAAAGAGGC